GGCAAUGAAUCCAAUAUAUUAUAAAAAAUAAAUGGAGACUCAAGAGUCGGCUGAAAAUGGUGAUGACUUAUAGUAGCAUAAAUAAAAAGGAUUGAAGUAAAUUUGAACAAGUUUACUUGAAGUUUGGAUGGUAGGUAUGAUUAUGAAAUGCGACAUGUCAUAACCUAGUUGCCUUGUUGAAUUAGAUUGGGAUAGCUAAGUAUAAAUACCAUAAGGAUAUACUUAUUUCGAGCAAUCACG
rnacentral:lncRNA from 1 species